rnacentral:tRNA from 1 species
GGAGAGUUGGCCGAGUCUGGUAAGGCUCCCGUCUCGAAAACGGGUGACCCGGUCGAAGCCGGGCAGGGGUUCAAGUCCUCUACUCUCCUCCG